CCGACAUGGACCCAGUGAAAUUGAAUUCUCCGUGAAGAUGCGGAGUACCAACGGCUAGACGGUAAGACCCCGUGCACCUUGACUAUAGCUUCGCAGUGACAACCUCUUACGAAUGUGUGGGAUAGGUGGGAGGUGGGGAACUAUCAAUCCUGGAAUACCACUCUUUCGUCUAAGGAUGCCUAACCGCUUCUUUCUCUAGAUUGAUUCUCAGGGCGGGACACUGCAAGGUGGGUAGUUUAUCUGGGGCGGAUGCCUCCUAAAGAGUAACGGAGG
rnacentral:rRNA from 1 species